ensembl:lncRNA novel transcript
AGUUCGCUUUGCACCUCAUAGGCCUCCAGAUAUCUCCUUGAAGCCUCUUCUCUUUGAAGUACCAGCAUCACUACAGAGUCAGUGUCUGUCGGCCAAGAUUGGGUUUUCCACGAAAUAGAUGCUCAACUUCAACGUUCAAAUGCCAGCGUGAACCACGGAGUAGUGAUUGUGGGAAACGCUGGAUUCUGCAAAACUGCCACCAUCUCCAGACUGGUGGCCCUCAGCUGCCAUGGUACAAAGAUGAGACAGAUCACCUCAGACAGCCCACGUGCCUCCCCCAAAUAUGUGGAUGCCAACAGAGAGCUGCCACUCACACAGCCACCUUCAGCCCACUCAUCUAUCACCAGCGGAAGCUGCCCAGGAACUCUGGAAAUGCGCAGGAGGCUAUGCGAAGACUAGCCUCACAA